CCUGCAUUAUAAACAUCGGUUUGCAGCUCUCUGUCUUCUUCUAUGUUCUGAUUAACAGAAAUCUUUUUAUUUGUCUAAAAUCAGCAUCCUUACCUCCCGUCGCCUGUAUCCCGACUACUUGUUGUAGUUGUUCCUUCCACCUCCGUCCUGAUCCUAGUGAGAGAUUUACUCCAGAGCACGACGUCACGCAGCUCACCUAGAUUUCAGCAGCGCAGUAAUUGGCCUGAUUAAAUCCUGGUCUCUUCCCGGUCCCACUGACGAAGGUGGAGUUGGCGGCCAGACAGCAGAUGGUUCUCCAGCUCAAAGAGAAACAGCCCAGGGUGAUGGAGCAGGAGGAUCAGACUCUGACAUCAACACAGACACUUUAAGUCCAUCCGAAAACCUCACCAGAAGUGAAUUAUUGACGCUUAUUGGCCCGUUUUGGACUUUAAAAUGUCAGGUGCCCCCGGAAAAAAUGUGGCGCAACCAAGGUUCAUACAAAAAAACAUUUCUUCUGUGUCAGCAUGACCAGUUUAUCUCAAUUUAAACUAAAGCAAUGAAUGGAGGUCAUCCCUUAUGUCUGUUAUUUCUAAAUGAUCUUACUGUUAUAAGUCAAACUACGCAGUGGACACGAUUGGUGUAAGUUGUACCAUUACGUUUAAAGCAGUUUUUGUAAUCUAACCACAGCCAGAAACCUUUGCAUGUAUCAUUUAAUCAAAUAUGUUUUGAGUCUGAACUAAUUUAUCCUGAAAAGCCACAAAUUUGAGUGCAUUUAUUUGUACUCCAUGAUCUCAGAGUACUUGGAUAACAUGCACAUCGUUAACAUUUAAGUUAAAAUAAAUAAAAAUGGCAAAAUUCCCGCGUUUAAAUGCCAGUGUUGGUCUGAAACACUGGCGACGGCGUUCACAGGAUGUUUAUAACGUGGUGACACGCUGUCGGCUGUCGUGAUGUUAAACUGGAGUUUAAUAGGUCAGCGUCUGGAGACGUCUUCAAGCUCUUUAUUACAGGUGAAUUAAGCCGGAGGCCACCACACGUAGAGCUUUAGAGCUCUGCUCUACAGUCAUGAGACCAUACAGAUGUGGAGAUUAGCAGGAAGGAGUAGAAAUAGGAGUAGCAUUGAGUGGAGAUGGGUGGUGAAAAAUCAUGUAUAAAUAACUAAUAUAAACACAAAGCUUCGUAUCAACAUCACAGAUCCUGGAGAGAGCGUACAUAGUAAAGACAGAGCUUGACAAGAGGACUAUAGUAUAUCAUUUAAAGGUCCAGUUUAGAUGUGUUCAUCAAACCAUGAUCAUCAAUUAUAUAUGCAGAAUAAAGCAUUCAACUAUACGUUUUAAAAUUAGUGUGUUCUUCGAGAUCUAGAGGUCCUGUCUCAAUAUAGUGAGCACAUUAAUACCGUGAUAUUGUUAAUAUUAUUCUCAGGAUGCCUCAAGACUUUCAGUUUUCUGUGUAGGUGAACUUUUUCUGCACAACAGCGCCCCCGCUGGGCACAGACCGAAACUGCAGGACAAUAAACUUGCUUGAGAUACAGUACCAGUAUACUGUCUACAUAUUUUUUCGAGCAACUUGAUGUGAAUAAACUAAGAAAUACUGCGGUAAGAAUAAAGGGUAACAUUCAUUUACCCUAACUCUUAAAUGUAGCAGCACUGCAUGGCUAUUAUAUGUAUAAUUUAAUUGUUAAAUAUUCCAUUCCGAUGCAUUAAACACAUCUGUACAAAUAAAAUAAAACACAUGAAGAAAUAGAACGUCUAGAUAUUGAACGUAAAGAUAUUGUAAAUAUGGUUAUACUUUUUUUUUAAAAGUGAUUGAGUAUUUGCAGAUCGUUACACAACUUUAAUUUUGGAGGAACUGCACUGUGGUGGCUGUU
ensembl:lncRNA